GUGCUCGCUUCGGCAGCACAUAUACUAAAAUUGGAAUGAUACAGAGAUUAGCAUGGCCCCUGCCCAAGGAUGAACUGGAUUUUGAAGAAAUGCAACAGGAACAA